rnacentral:rRNA from 1 species
GUGUCAGCAGCCGCGGUAAUACGUAGGUGGCAAGCGUUAUCCGGAAUUACUGGGCGUAAAGCGCACGCAGGCGGUCUCUUAAGUUUGACGUGAAAGCUCCCGGCUUAACUGGGAGAGGUCGUUGAAUACUGGGGGACUUGAGGCAAUGAGAGGGGUGUAGAAUUCCCGGUGUAGUGGUGGAAUGCGUAGAUAUCGGGGGGAAUACCAGUGGCGAAAGCGGCACCCUAGCGUUGUUCUGACGCUCAUGUGCGAAAGCGUGGGGAGCGAACGGGAUUAGAAACCCGGGUAGUCC